rnacentral:lncRNA from 1 species
ACAUGUUUUAAAUCCUCAAAAGCUAAGUACAUCUUGCUCAGUCCCCUUUUUUCUUUGUUAUAAAGGUACUUCCCUGAGGACAACAUUGCCCUGGGAGUAUUUCCUAAAGGGAACAGAGAAUCUUGGAGAGACAGAGUCCUGAAAUUUCCUUGAAGCUCCAGGAAACCCCACCUCUGUUGGGAUUUGAGCAUGAACUGGGGAAGACAGAAGGGAAUUAUUCCUUGAGGAAGCUGUGGCCGGAGACCCUCUUUUCUUCUUCUGUUUUUUUUUUUACUGGUUUCUAAGGCAUUCCUCUUAGUGAGGGCAUCAGCUGGAGUCUUGGAGCUCUUCUGAGGAGGGUUGGGAGGUUGGG